GUUGUGGCUCACUGGUAGAGCACUUGCCUGGCAUGUGUGAGGCCCUGGGUUCAAUCCUCAGCAUCACA
rnacentral:tRNA from 1 species